rnacentral:lncRNA from 1 species
CGUUUACCCAACAAACAAUAAAACAGAAGGCAGGAUUGUUCGGAGAUGCCGGAUGGCAGCCAUGAGAAAGACCCCACUGGUCUGAGAGGUCUGUGCAGGAAUGCACGGAGCCUGGGAAACACAGAGAGCUAAGGGCACGCCAGUGCACGCCUAAUGCAGGCGGGGUGACACCUGCACAGUUCCAUCUGCUGCUUCACGACGUGUUGCUAACUCAGUCGCCGACCACUGGACUCUGGGCUGCUCCAUUCCUAACUUCCACAGUGUUGAUGGAUACCGAUGCAAGCCCUUCUGGGGAAGACACAGUGAGAGCCUCUCUCAGCCAUGCAUUCCUCAGCCUGACUGCAAGGUCGCAGCCCCCUACAAAGCCCAGUCUGAGUGCUUCCCAGGCUGCCAUGUGCCAGGUCUCCCUCCCACGGCUGUCCUGGAAGGCUCUGCUUUGCACCAACUUGCCAGCACUUGGCAUUAGUCAACCCUCUAGCUUUUACCAAUCUGAUGGGUGUAAAGGGAAUUCCUGCGUUUUACUUUGCAUUUCUCUGAUUCCUGUGGGUUUGAGCAGCUCUUCAUUGAAUUGUGUGUCAUUUGCACUUUCCCUUCUGGGAAUUGUCUGUUGGGGUUGGCUUUCUGUCAACUUAAACAGGAGCAAACUUGGUUACUUUUAAUUAAAAGCAGGCUCGUGGCAGCAGGGGAGUUUUACAUGCAUAGGAAGGUCAGGUCCAGCCCUGCCCAUCUUCGUGCAUACUCUCUCUUUGGUCACUGCUGUGCGGCAUGGUGAGCUUGGCACCUGGCCUUCAGAAUGCAGCCACAGAAGGGAGUUCAUGGGCUAGGCAUUCUGCUAAGGGACACAGCUGUCUCUGGCUCCUGCAUCCAAUUACUGGACUCUCUGCUUCAUUGCUCUGGUGGAGCUGCCAGCCUGAGUCUCCACAUGUUCUUUCAACACUCCCUUGGUGGCCAGCCCAGUGUGCUUUUAAUCAUUGACAAGCAAGAGGAUGCCACAGAGAAGGAUGUUGGCUGCUGUUCAGGCAUUUGGGGACUGGCAGGGAGGGCUGCUGUCCACGACGGAGGAUGCCACAAGUGGAUUCAAGACUGAGUUUUUUGUUUUUCUAUCCAUCAACUCAAGCAUUUGUUAUUUUGUUUGUGUUACACAUAGUCCAAUUAUACUCUUUUAGCUAUUUUUAAAUGUACAAUAAAUUUUUAUUGAUUCUAGUCA